rnacentral:snRNA from 1 species
UUGUCGACGGUGACUCGA